AACAAACAACAAAACCUACACCACCAGUAUCAACACAUGAUCCAGAGAACAAGUAGCAUUACAAUCGUCCCUUCCCAGUAGCUCACUGACUGGGAGACCUAUCUCCAUUGUUUUUCCUAGGGUAUUCAUCGUGAUUUGGGCUGCGGCUUCUGCUUCUUUUUGGGCUCCAGCUUCGGCUUCUUGGGCCCUGGCUUUGACCCCUAUUAGGAGUUCUGCUGCGGCUCCUUGAAUGCGAGUAUGACCUCUCUUGACUAUACCUCUUCUCCUGGGGUGAAACAGAUCU
rnacentral:misc_RNA from 1 species